rnacentral:rRNA from 1 species
UACGAAGGGGGCUAGCGUUGCUCGGAAUCACUGGGCGUAAAGGGUGCGUAGGCGGGUCUUUAAGUCAGAGGUGAAAUCCUGGAGCUCAACUCCAGAACUGCCUUUGAUACUGAAGAUCUUGAGUUCGGGAGAGGUGAGUGGAACUGCGAGUGUAGAGGUGAAAUUCGUAGAUAUUCGCAAGAACACCAGUGGCGAAGGCGGCUCACUGGCCCGAUACUGACGCUGAGGCACGAAAGCGUGGGGAGAAAACAGG